rnacentral:rRNA from 1 species
AACGAACGCUGGCGGCGUGCCUAACACAUGCAAGUCGAGCGAGAAAGUCCCUUCGGGGGCGAGUAAAGCGGCGGACGGGUGAGUAAUACAUGGAUAAUCUUCCCUCGAGCCUGGGAUAACCCUGCGAAAGUGGGGCUAAUACCGGAUAAGACCACAUGACACAUGUCACGGGGUAGAAGGUGGCUUGUAUUUAUAUGAGCUAUCACUUGAGGAUGAGUCCAUGGCCUAUCAGCUAGUUGGUGAGGUAAGAGCUUACCAAGGCUAUGACGGGUAGCUGGUCUGAGAGGACGACUAGCCACACUGGGACUGAGACACGGCCCAGACUCCUACGGGAGGCAACAGUGGGGAAUUUUCGGCAAUGGGGGAAACCCUGACCGAGCAAUGCCGCGUGAAUGAAGAAGGUCUUCGGACUGUAAAAUUCUGUUAUUUGUGGAAGAAAGGUAGUUGGAGGAAAUGCCAAUUACUUGACGGUACCAAAUGAGAAAGCCCCGGCUAACUAUGUGCC